UACGUAGGGGGCAAGCGUUGUCCGGAAUCAUUGGGCGUAAAGAGCGCGUAGGCGGCCCGACAAGUCCGCUGUGAAAGUCAAAGGGCUCAACCCUUGGAUGCCGGUGGAUACUGUCGGGCUAGAGUCCGGAAGAGGCGAGUGGAAUUCCUGGUGUAGCGGUGAAAUGCGCAGAUAUCAGGAGGAACACCGAUGGCGAAGGCAGCUCGCUGGGACGGUACUGACGCUGAGGCGCGAAAGCGUGGGGAGCAAACAGG
rnacentral:rRNA from 1 species